CCAGAAAUGAAAUUUCAGUUCAAGUUUGGCACUAAAAAUGAUAGAAUUUUUAUAUGCCCCAGGCAGUAAUAUUGCUUAUAAAUUUAUACCAUACGCCACUUUAACUUAAACUUUUUUUUUUUUUUAUUAAGGGGACUGAUCGGAGUCAAACCAUAUGCUGUGGCUUUUGCUCCAUGGAAAUCUCAACUAUACUGCAAGAAUAAUUAUUCCUACUUAAUGAAGUUACAGAAGAGAAUGUGGUGCUGGACGCUUUUCAGACCACAAGGAAGACUGACAUGCUUUUUUAUCAUGGUAACAGGUACUGACUGCAUGGGGAGAGGCCAUACCACAGAAACCUCAAUCUGCCUGAGCCGUGACUCUGAGAGCUGGAGUACCACUGGACAAGGUGAGGGGAGCUUUUGCUUGUUUACUCAGAAAUAUUUUCUAAAUUACCUGUUUGUGUUAUUUAGGAGGGCAGGAUUGGGGAAUGCCACUUUGACCUGAUUUUUACAGAAUAAACUCCUUGCGUAGCGUUAUAAUAAUCAGAAUAACUAGAUAGGCUCUUUUAGGCAAGGUUGGGCAAACUUUCUAUAUUCUGACUCCUCUUGUUGUUUUCUUCCCAAACAUUUGAAAGAAAACACAUUACAGUUUACAAAAAAAUCCCUCAUUCUGCCUUGUGUUGGUUCCACCUCCCCUAAAAAUAGAAUUUUAUGAUGCUCAAUCUAAUUUCUUUUCAAGACCAUUUAUUUAAUAAGAAGAAUGUUCUCCUGGCCUGAGAUGCAAUAUAAGUGAGUAUGUAUUUUUUUUCAUAGAGUUAAUGUUUACGGCAGAGGGCUAAAGCAUUGAAAAUAAGGAACUGAAAUGGAAACUCUGACAUCACUUUAACGGCAGUCCUGCUGCCUUACUGGGGAGAAAAAUAUUAGCUCUUGUCUAACUUACCUUUUCCAUAAGGUGUAAAAAGCACCCUAUACAGAGGGAGUAUAUGAAACCCAUAGCUAGUCUGAUUGCUUGCAUGCUAUUCAUAUACACGCCCGUUGUAAGCUGGCACUGGGUGAACCCGCUGAUUCUAACCAUAUGGCUGCCUGCAGAAGUGCA
rnacentral:lncRNA from 1 species